rnacentral:rRNA from 1 species
AUUGAACGCUAGCGGGAUGCUUUACACAUGCAAGUCGAACGAGUGGCGGACGGGUGAGUAAUAUAUCGGAACUUGCCCAUUAGCGGGGGAUAACUACUCGAAAGAAUGUCUAAUACCCCAUACUCUUGUCACGGCCUAUAUCUGAUUGGCUACUUGGUGGGGUAAAGGCUCACCAAGGCAACGAUCCGUCGCUGGUUUGAGAGGACGACCAGCCACACGGGGACGGAGACACGGCCCAGAAUCCGACGGGAGGCAGCAGUGGGGAAUUUUGGACAAUUGGGGAAACACUGAUCCAGCCAUCCCGCGUGUAUGAGAAGGCCUUCGGGGUGUAAAGUACUUUAGGCAGAGAAGCGGUAUCUGAAGAAUAAGCACCGGCUAACUACGUGCCAGCAGCCGCGGUAAUUC